rnacentral:rRNA from 1 species
AGCGAACGCUGGCGGCAGGCUUAACACAUGCAAGUCGAACGGGCUUCUUCGGCUUUCAGUGGCAGACGGGUGAGUAACCCGUGGGAACGUGCCCUUCUGAUCGGCAUAACUCAGGGAAACUUCAGCUAAUACCUGAUACGCCCAUCUGGUGAGAGGUUUACUUGCGUAGGAUCGGCUCGCGUCUGAUUGCCUUGUGGGUUGGGUAACGGCCUACCAAGGCGACGAUCAGUAGCUGGUCUGAGAGGAGGAUCAGCCACACUGGGGCUGAGACACGGCCCAGACUCCGACGGAAGGCAGCAGAGGGGAAUAUUGGACGAGGAGCGCAAGCCUGAUCCAGCCAUGCCGCGUGAGAGAUGAAGGCGUUAGGGUUGUAAAGCUCUUUUGUCCGGGACGAUAAUGACGGUACCGGAAGAAUAAGCCCCGGCUAACUUCGUG